UACGUAGGGUGCGAGCGUUAAUCGGAAUUACUGGGCGUAAAGCGUGCGCAGGCGGUUCGUUGUGUCGGUGGUGAAAUCCCCGGGCUUAACCUGGGAAUGGCCAUGGAAACUGGCGAACUGGAGUGUGGCAGAGGGGGGUAGAAUUCCACGUGUAGCAGUGAAAUGCGUAGAGAUGUGGAGGAACACCGAUGGCGAAGGCAGCCCACUGGCUCGAUACUGACGCUGAGGUGACGAAAGCGUGGGGAGCAAACAGG
rnacentral:rRNA from 1 species